GAUGAGUUGAUCUAACAGAUACUAAUGAACCGUGAGGCUUAACCUUACAACGACGAAG
rnacentral:rRNA from 1 species